rnacentral:rRNA from 1 species
UACGAAGGGGGCUAGCGUUGCUCGGAAUCACUGGGCGUAAAGGGUGCGUAGGCGGGUUCUUAAGUCAGAGGUGAAAUCCUGGAGCUCAACUCCAGAACUGCCUUUGAUACUGGCGAUCUCGAGUCCGGGAGAGGUGAGUGGAACUGCGAGUGUAGAGGUGAAAUUCGUAGAUAUUCGCAAGAACACCAGUGGCGAAGGCGGCUCACUGGCCCGGUACUGACGCUGAGGUGCGAAAGCGUGGGAGCAAC